UGGUGGAGUGAUUUGUCUAGUUAAUUCCGUUAACGAACGAGACCUCGAGCCUUUCGGGGUGGCGUCUUUCCGACUUCUUAGAGGGACUAUCGGUGUCUCGCCGAUGGAAGUUCGAGGCAAUAACA
rnacentral:rRNA from 1 species